AGUCUGGUGCAGGCAGCCGCGGUAAUUCCAGCUCCAAUAGCGUAUAUUAAAGUUGUUGCAGUUAAAAAGCUCGUAGUUGGAUCUGGGGUUCGGGUCGGCGGUUUGCCGCUUCGGCGGCUACUGCCGUGCUCGACUCUUACUAGCCGGUGCGUCUUGCGGUGCUCUUCAUCGAGUGCCGUAGGAGCCUGGCAUGUUUACUUUGAAAAAAUUAGAGUGCUCAAAGCAGGCGAUUCCGCCUGAAUAGUGUUGCAUGGAAUAAUGGAAUAGGACCUCGGUUCUAUUUUGUUGGUUUUCGGAACUUGAGGUAAUGAUUAAGAGGGACGGUCGGGGGCAUUCGUAUUUCGGUGUUAGAGGUGAAAUUCUUGGAUCGCUGAAAGACGGACAAGUGCGAAAGCAUCUGCCAAGAACGUCUCCAUUAAUCAAGAACGAAAGUCAGAGGUUCGAAGACGAUCAGACACCGUCCUAGUUCUGACCAUAAACGAUGCCAACUAGCGAUCCGCAGUGGUUGCUAUAAACGGACUCUGCGAGCAGCUUCCGGGAAACCAAAGUGUUUGGGUUCCGGGGGAAGUAUGGUUGCAAAGCUGAAACUUAAAGGAAUUGACGGAAGGGCACCACCAGGAGUGGAGCCUGCGGCUUAAUUUGACCCAACACGGGGAAACUCACCCGGUCCGGACACUGUAAGGAUUGACAGAUCGAGAGCUCUUUCUUGAUUCGGUGGAUGGUGGUGCAUGGCCGUUCUUAGUUGGUGGAGUGAUUUGUCUGGUUAAUUCCGAUAACGAACGAGACUCUAGCCUGCUAACUAGUUGCGCCGUGUUCAUACGCGGCUGUAGACUUCUUAGAGGGACAGGUGGCGUUUAGCCACACGAAAUUGAGCAAUAACAGGUCUGUGAUGCCCUUAGAUGUCCGGGGCCGCACGCGCGCUACACUGAAGGAGUCAGCGUGUGCUAUCCGGGCUCGGAAGAGUUCGGUAACCCGUUGAAACUCCUUCGUGCUUGGGAUUGUGGCUUGUAAUUAUCGCGCAUGAACGAGGAAUUCCCAGUAAGUGCAAGUCAUCAGCUUGCGCUGACUACGUCCCUGCCCUUUGUACACACCGCCCGUCGCUACUACCGAUUGAAUGGUUUAGCAAGGUACUCGGAUUGGUCUCGAUCUUGUACGAAAGUGCGGGAUCUGUGGCC
rnacentral:rRNA from 1 species